GGGCCGUUAGCUCAGUUGGUAGAGCGGGUGACUGUUAAUCACUAGGUCGUAGGUUCGAUCCCUACACGGCCCACCA
rnacentral:tRNA from 1 species